rnacentral:siRNA from 1 species
AUAAACGAUUCUAUCACGUGCAAU